AACGAUCUCCGGACAAAUACCAAUGUAUAGUGGUGGUCGCCUUUUGAUCUCCGGACAAAUACCAAUGUAUAGUGGUGGUCGCCUUUUGUUUUGUCUUAUAUAUCGAUGUGUCUCCAUAUAUCUUAAUACUAUGUCAGGGCACCUCCAACGGAGGUUUUUAAAAAAAAAAUAUUAAUGAAUAAAAAAAUAAAAAAAUAUUGAAUAAUAAGAGAAAAGGUUAAAGAAGGG
rnacentral:lncRNA from 1 species